rnacentral:piRNA from 1 species
UUGCAUGGCUCAACUUUGUGAGAUGUGU